UUGUCCAUUCAGCAUCUCGUUUUCCAAUUCCUCGAUGGACUACAAGAGAGAUGACUUGGAUCAGAGGGAAUACUGCUCUGACAGCAGCAGUCACCAGAAAGGUUGAUUCUUGUGGAGAUGACAACCCACCUUGAUGAGUGAAAUCCCGAAUGCUCCAGGCUUGAUGUGAUCUGCCAUGCCCUCACAGGUUUGUUUGAUGAACUGAUGUGGUAGGACAAACACUAAGAUAUCUGUCCCUCUCACUGCUUCAGCCAAGUCUGGUACAGCCACCUGGGACAAGUGCAACAUGGAAGAUGAGCCCCCUCACACCAGGUGAGAAUUCUCACACCUUGCAAAGCAAUACCACUGAGGCAAUGCGCUUAAUAACCAGCAAACUGUACCAUCCUCUAAAUGCGAGUGUUACUUAGAACAACAAUUAAAGCCAGAGGAAACAGGAGGUGAAUUUAAGUCUGCUCUUGCAAUCAGAAAAAAAAAAAA